rnacentral:rRNA from 1 species
CCAGCCCUUUGGUCUGGGAUAACCCCGCGAAAGCGGGGCUAAUACCGGAUGAUGCAGCGGCUCCACAUGGAGAUGUUGUUAAACCCCGUAAGGGGGCCAAUGGAUGGGCCUGCGUCCCAUUAGAUAGUUGGUGAGGUAACGGCUCACCAAGUCUGCGAUGGGUAGCUGAUCUGAGAGGAUGAUCAGCCACACUGGAACUGAGACACGGUCCAGACUCCUACGGGAGGCAGCAGUGAGGAAUAUUGCGCAAUGGACGAAAGUCUGACGCAGCGACGCCGCGUGAAGGAUGAAGGCUCUUUGAGUCGUAAACUUCUGUAGAGAGGGAAGAAUGUCCCGUUCUUCGGGAUUGACGGUACCUCUAAAGUAAGGAUCGGCCAACUACGUGCCAGCAGCCGCGGUAAUACGUAGGAUCCGAGCGUUGUCCGGAAUCACUGGGUGUAAGGGAGCGCAGGCGGGCUUUCAAGUCGGUGGUGAAAUCUUACAGCUUAACUGUAAAACUGCCUCCGAUACUGUAAGUCUUGAGUGUGGAAGAGGGCGAUGGAAUUCAUGGUGUAGCGGUGAAAUGCGUAGAUAUCAUGAAGAACACCGGUCGCGAAGGCGGUCGCCUGGUCCAUUACUGACGCUCAUGCUCGAAAGUGUGGGGAGCAAACAGGAUUAGAUACCCUGGUAGUCCACACCUUAAACGAUGAAUACUUGGUGUCGGGUCGUAAGGCUCGGUGCCAAAGCUAACGCAUUAAGUAUUCCACCUGGGGAGUACGAUCGCAAGGUUGAAACUCAAAGGAAUUGACGGGGGCCCGCACAAGCAGUGGAGCAUGUGGUUCAAUUCGAUCAACGCGAAGAACCUUACCUGGGUUUGAAAAGCAAGAUUCUAGUCCCUGAAAGGGGAUUACCCGCAAGGGGUCUUGUACAGGUGCUGCAUGGCUGUCGUCAGCUCGUGCCGUGAGGUGUUAGGUUAAGUCCUGCAACGAGCGCAACCCCUACACUUAGUUGCCAUCAGGUAAUGCUGGGCACUCUAAAUGGACUGCCUACGCAAGUAGUGAGGAAGGUGGGGAUGACGUCAAGUCCUCAUGGCCCUUACACCCAGGGCUACACACGUGCUACAAUGGCCACUACAAAGGGCUGCAAUACCGCAAGGUGGAGCCAAUCCCAAAAAAGUGGUCUCAGUUCGGAUUGAGGGCUGCAACUCGCCCUCAUGAAGCUGGAAUUGCUAGUAAUCGUAG